AAAACAUCGCCUUUAGAAUACUUUAUUAAAGGUCCAUUCUGCCCUAUGAAAAAUUUAAAUGGCCGCGGUACCCUGACCGUGCUAAGGUAGCAUAAUAAUUUGCCUCUUAAUUAGAGGCUUGUAUGAAGGAACAUACGUGAGUAAGACUGUUUCAUUUUUAUUUCUAAAAAUUAUUCUUCAGGUGAAGAAACCUGAAUUCUAUAAAAAGACAAAAAGACCCUAUUGAGCUUUACUUAAAAUUUAUUAUAAUAUUACCUAUAUAUUUUAAUAAAUCCAGGUUCUGUUGGGGCGACAAAAGAAGAACUAAAUCUUCUUUUCAAACUGAGGCUUCGACCCUAAAAAACUGAUCCAAAUCUAUUGAUUAAUGAAAUUAGCUACCCUAGGGAUAACAGGCUAAUUUUCUUUGAGAGCUCAAAUUGACAAGAAAGAUUGGCACCUCGAUGUUGGCUUAAGGUUUCUAAUAAAUGCAGAAGUUUAUUAAGUAGGUUUGUUCAACCUUUAAAACCUUACGUGAUCU
rnacentral:rRNA from 1 species